AUUCCAGUAUUUCACUAUGUCUCUUACAAUUAAAAUGAUUGUCAAUUGUUUUUUUAGUCGUGAAUUAUUUUUAACGGUUACCAUCAGUUGCAUUCAAUUUUUAUCAAGAAAUUCCCUCAUGGAUUUUGGAUAAAUAAUAUAUAAUUAUAAUAUUAUAAUAGUGUGAACAAAAUUUUACAUCGCGAAAAUAAAAUUAGGAAACAAAAAUCAAUGUCACUGAUUUGAGAUAUUUUCGAGUUUUAUUAUAAAAAUGUGUAUUUUUUUAGAUUUUAUUCAGAUUCUUGUUUUUUCUAAAUCUAGGUUUUUCAUUGUUAUUUCGAAUGCAGUCGCAGCUGUGAUAACUGAAGUUGGAAAAUGAGGAAGAAAAUUUUUUUUUUUCAUAGACAGGAAGGAAAAUGUAAAAAUCAAUAUUCUCAUUUGGAAGGAAUUUUCAACGUAUGAGUGCGAGUUUCCUUUUUAUUAAAAAGCUCAUCACAUGGUCCAGAUGAUCAACUUCCAUUCAAGGCCAGAAAGAAUCUUCUUCACCAAACGACGUCUUAAUUAAAUUUCACCUCAAGCGCAGAAAAACAAUUCAAAGAUGGAAAAAAAUUAUGAACAAAAUUAUGAAGAUUUUAAGGUGACUUCAGCAAUUUCAGGAAAAGAUAAUUCCAAAAGAAGAGUUUCCUGACUAUCAAUGAGAUAGACACCGGUCCAAUUCACAGCAAUAAUAACAUCAUUUGUCGCUAAUUUUGGUCCCGAUAUUUUGGAAACUUCAUAGAAUUUUGAAAAAAGAAUUGGCCAAGUUAUUUUCGAAAAUGAGACAAUAUCUUCUUUCGCCUUCACAGUGGAACAUUUUAUCGAGCAUAUAUAUAUAAAUCACACAGUACCUUCUGAAAAGCUUUGGCCACCAGUUGCUCCCAUUUUGGGAGAACAUUUUCAGAGACCCCAUGGAGCAAGUGUUUAGGAAUAGAAAGAGGUAGCGCGCUC